rnacentral:misc_RNA from 1 species
AACGCACAUUGCGCCCCCCGGCCCCCGGGGGGCACGCCCGUCCGAGCGCCAUCGUCAGACCUCGAGCCGCGGGCUCGCCGUCGGGCGCCGCCGUCCCCCGGGGCGGCGCGCCCGAGAACGCCGGCGCCCCCGCGGGCCCCCGACGCACCGAGCCCCCGUGGCCCGCGCCGGAGGACCCGCGGGCGGCGGCCGCCACCGCACCACCGAAAGACGGCCUCGGAUCGGGCGGGGUUACCCGCUGAACUUAA